AUGAAUCUUUGACAGACCUGGAGCAGUUAAGUUCUGCUGUUAAGGUUUCCACUACAGAUGUAAGAAAAAGAAGCUCCUUGUGCUUUCUCUCAGUCUGGCUAUAGCAGCCAAGGUUGAAUGGGCAAGUACAGGA
rnacentral:snoRNA from 1 species